CGCCAUUGUACAGGUCGUUUAAGGCUGGUAGGACCACAUAAGAUUUAUUCAAAGCAAGAGCACACAUGUUACCCUGUGACUAAUGGAGCUCAGACAUAGCCUACGUUGCUUAAUGACACCCCUAAUAAGCAUUGAAAAUUUAACAAUCAUCGGUUAAAAAUAUUUGAAUAAUGUUAAAGCAAAACGUUUUCAACCAGUUACAUUUUAUACAUGUCUAGUAUAGCCAUGUAAGACAAAUACUUUUAUUGCCCGACCCCUGGCCUCAGCUAUCACACCCAUGUAUAAGUCAGUAUUAGUAGUUUUUUUUUUCAUUUACUGGGGUAAAAAUUAUGUGCAUUAGACCAAUUAUUAAGGUAGACUUCUCUAGAUUCGUCCUGAACAUUUAAGACCAAAGUUUUGAUGUAACAGUCUGAACCAUCUCAAGUCAUUAAAGUCAUUUAAAAUCGAUAUUCAUACGAUCGACGUAGACAUUGUUCAUACAUACAGUCUUACGGCUUAUUCUCAAUAAAACUAUCGGUCUUCGUAUAUCGAUCUAACUCCGUGGGGGUUCUUGCUGAAUGGAAUCAGUUUAACAGAUUAACACGUCUGCUCCUGGAGUACAGAGAAUAUUCAAUUUAUAGUGUUUCUACGAGUACGUUGGGAAUACGCUUUCAGUUCAUAACCCCUCAGCAAGAUCAAAGAUAACGUGGAAAUCUUAGAGAGGGUACCCCAUUGGAAAGUCACUACCGAAUUCUCGGAAUACUUUUGGCGACGUUAUAGCCCGGGGUUCAGAAGAGAGACACGAUGUUCAUAAUCUAUCGCUUGGUCAAAGAUACGCAUCAAAACCUUACUGAGAUUUGCCUAUUUGAGAAGGCUACCAGAGAGAGUAUUUUGCAGAAGAGCACUGUGCAUUUUAAAAUGUCUUAAGCAUUGUAAGGUAUUUUGUUUACUGACCAUUAAGUGUACUACGUUGGCACAUUCACGUCAGUGUGGAGCAAGCUAGAAUAAAUGGUGUUUCACUCGCCUCUCAAGGCAAAUAUAUGCUAGCAGACUAGGUCGAUUCUGUUGUUUUACAUAGAAUAAAGAUAUACACGUACGGAGAGCUGUUUUUCUUUUAUAACGCUUGGAUGGCUUGUUACACCGGUACGAGUAUAGAAACAGAAAAGAAGUUCAUUUGACGUUUAAAUGUGCCCUCACUCCGCCAUUGUAUCCCUAUAUCAAGAUGUUUAAUUUGGCUUUAGUUCAGAUUAUUGACAUGCGCAUAAGAAAUUGCAAACGCAUAAAAUAAAACAGCUCCUUUUCUCCCUCGGAUACAUGAUCCAUUCGUAAAUAAACGUACAUAAUGACUUUGUACGUCAAUAGCAGUAAAAGGGAAUUCCCUAAUAAAACCUUUCGUCACCUCUAUUAAUAAUACCUGCAGCUGAGUCGCCAUUGUACAGGUCGUUUCCAGCUGGAAAGUUAACGUGAUAUUUUAUCAAAUUUUGAGGUGUGAUGUCAACCACAUCAGUGUCAACGGGUGACAUACAACUAGUCGUAACUGAGAUGUCGUAGGAAUGGGUAUUUAGGGUAAAACAAAUUCCGCACGACAACACGAAAUUUCCAGUUUACGCGUAAAUAUCGAGCAGGGAAAUUUUACCUGUACAUUGGUUUCGGUUCGCACGGAAAUGUGUUGUUACGUAAAAAUUUCGUAAUUGUCCAGUUUUAAAGAAUUUCAAUGAUUAUUUUAAUUGAUAGGAUUAAUUCAUGUCGAUCCUUCCCUAGUUACACACAAAAAAUGAAGCUGGAAAAUAAUUUAGAAAAAAAAAUUAAUAAAAUCAAUGGUGGAGGUAGGGGAGGACGCAACGGGUAGGAACCACUUUUUCCACCCCCCC